GCCGCUGUAGCUCAGGGCGGCAGAGCGUAUGCUUGGUAAGGAUAAGGUCACCGGUUCAACCCCGGUCAGUGGCUCCA
rnacentral:tRNA from 1 species